CCUACGGGAGGCAGCAGUGAGGAAUCUUGGUCAAUGGACGCAAGUCUGAACCAGCCAUGCCGCGUGCAGGAUGACGGCUCUAUGAGUUGUAAACUGCUUUUAUACGAGGGUAAACCCCGAUACGUGUAUCUGCUUGAAAGUAUCGUACGAAUAAGGAUCGGCUAACUCCGUGCCAGCAGCCGCGGUAAUACGGAGGAUCCAAGCGUUAUCCGGAUUUGUUGGGUUUAAAGGGUGCGUAGGCGGUUUGAUAAGUUAGAGGUGAAAUUUCGGGGCUCAACCCCGAAAGUGCCUCUAAUACUGUUGGACUAGAGAAUAGUUGCGGUAGGCGGAAUGUAUGGUGUAGCGGUGAAAUGCUUAGAGAUCAUACAGAACACCGAUUGCGAAGGCAGCUUACCAAACUAUAUCUGACGUUGAGGCACGAAAGCGUGGGUAGCAAACAGGAUUAGAUACCCGUGUAGUC
rnacentral:rRNA from 1 species